AACGAACGCUGGCGGCAUGCCUAACACAUGCAAGUCGAACGAGACCUUCGGGUCUAGUGGCGCACGGGUGCGUAACGCGUGGGAACCUGCCCUUAGGUUCGGAAUAACUCCCCGAAAGGGGUGCUAAUACCGGAUAAUGUCUUCGGACCAAAGAUUUAUCGUCUUUGGAUGGGCCCGCGUUGGAUUAGCUAGUUGGUAGGGUAAAAGCCUACCAAGGCGACGAUCCAUAGCUGGUCUGAGAGGAUGAUCAGCCACACUGGGACUGAGACACGGCCCAGACUCCUACGGGAGGCAGCAGUGGGGAAUAUUGGACAAUGGGCGAAAGCCUGAUCCAGCAAUGCCGCGUGAGUGUUGAAGGCCUUAGGGUUGUAAAGCUCUUUUACCCGGGAUGAUAAUGACAGUACCGGGAGAAUAAGCUCCGGCUAACUCCGUG
rnacentral:rRNA from 1 species